UAAUCCACCAUUAGCAUGUUUGGGAUCCUCUACUGGAUGGUUAACAGCAGCUUUGGUAACUGUAUGCUGUCCAUACCCAAUUAUGCUCUGCUAAAAAUGAACUCUGCAGAACAACCUUCCUGAGCUGUCAGUGUCUCCCGUUUUCCUAUUUUAACGCUUGUGUGUAGUGGCAGGCGACAGAUGGUGUAGAUCAGAUCGAUUUGAUUGCAUUAGGCGAUUUUUUUUUCCUCCUCUCCCCCCCGACUCCUUUUCUGGAAGCCCACAUUCAUCUGAGAGGCGAUCGCCGGGGACAUGGGAAGCAAGAGCAGCCGCCGAUGUGUGAAAGCAACGAGACAUGGCCAGCCAGAGGCGCCGGGGUCCCUUCCCGGGGUCUGUUAACAUGGUAAUCCGGCACCAGGAGAGAAAGCUGCUUUCUGCUGCCCAGAGCCCAUUCCCCAUCACACAUCAGAUGACUCCCUGGUUUUACACACAGUUGGAGUUCUGCUCGAAACCUGGAUUUAAAGGGAAUCUGUUGCUGCGUGUGACAUCUCUUGCAAGCUCCCAGAGAGAAUUGAUGGAGCAUACAGCUAGGGAAUAGGAUGCCAGAGAAGCACAGAGGAAGAAGCCGGGCAAUCACCAGGAUGGGAAGGUUCAGCGUCCAUUGGAUAUGGGACAAGAUCACUCGGCAACCCUUGUGGAUUCUCCUUCUUCUAGAGGGGAAUUAUGGUUAUGGAUUUAUUGUCCCGGUGCAGCACUUCCACCACCACCACCACCACCACCAGCAACAGCAGCAGCUUUCUGACUCUCUUCGGUGACGGGUAUUCUUGGGUGGAUAAUACGGAUUACGUUGUUAUUGCUUAAGAAUACGCGUAGUCGAGGAGAGUACCGGCGGCGGGCAGGCAGGCAGGCAGCGCGACCGCCCCCAGCCCACCAGCUGGCUCCUAACCUCCUCUAGUUGCCAAGGUAGCACCUUUUCCAUUUUUUCCUGCGCUUUGCAAUGUUUCACUCUGUCUGUGUCUCUGUCCGGGCGGGGGGAGCUCGGGCGCCCUGCCCCCUGUGGAGCGGGGGGUACCCGCGCCUGUGUGUGUGUGUGUGUGUGCGUGGGAGCAAGCACAGGGCCGGGGGGGGGGCGGGGAAAGGCUUGCCAAGCCUCGCAGGACCACGCCGCGGCCGGCCCCGGCCCGCCGGGGGCUGCGGACAGGGGGUGACCGGGGCAGCCGGCGCCGCCGCGGGGUGCGCCUCCGCGGGCAGCGCUCGGCCAGGCUGCGCCGGGACUGGGGGGAAGGUGCUCGCCCCCUCCGGGAAGCCCCGGUGCCCCGGCACACGGCCGGCAGCCCCCGGCGCCCGCCGCCCCUCGCCCCUCUCCGGCGGGGAGCGCGGGGCGGGGAUGGGGGGACCGGGGCGGUCGGCCCCGCCUGCCGGGGGGGCUCCCCACCCCCGGGACACGGGUUGCCCGCAGGGCCGGGGCGGCCCCGGCUCCGCCCGCCCCCGCCGGCGGAGCCCGGGAUGCCGCCCCCCUCCGCGGCCGCGGCCCCCGCGCCCACAGCAGCCGGGUCGUGCGGGGCUGGGGGGCUGCCCGCGGGCGGGGAGGUGCCGAGCAUCCGUGAUAGCCAGGCAAGAGGCCGUGGCUGUGUCUUCCACCCCGUCGCUCUGGGGAGCCCCCGUUCCCUGGCUGCCAAAGGGGUCUGGCCUUCCAGCGGGGUGGCCACUGGGGAGCUGGUUGUGGCCAGCUGCUUCGAGGGGGUGACACCCCCCUUUACCCCCUUAUCCUGGCCCCACAGUAGCGAGCUGGUGAGGGUAGGAUUAAAAGCCCACCUUCACGGCAGCCCCAGCUCAACAGGUCAGGAAGCACCAGCCGAAUGCAGAGCUCGUCAGACCCCGAGGCCCCGGGUUGAGCCACAUCUUCAGGGCUGGGGCUGAGGGCUUGUUUCACCCCCUGGAGCUCAGGCGGUGGGUUCUUUCCUGCCACUAAAGGGCUCAGGACUCUCCAAGUGCUACUUGCAGGUGGACAGGUGGGAAAGACAACCAAGGGAGUGUCGAUUUCUGUUUCUGGCCAAGCCAUGCCCCAUGUCUUUAACACAGAAGAAGAGAUGCACCGUCCCUCUCUCCAAUCUCAGGAGCAGGGCAAGGGCUUUGGUUAAAAGCAUGGUCAGCCUUUCGGAUGCUGUGCUUAAGAAAAUCCAGUCAUAGCAUUCAUACUUCCAGUCUUUUUUCCCCUGCUCCUCUGCCCCCAAGACUGGCAGAGACAUGGAACAGGGUGUGAUCAUGCCUAUGUUUCCCCAUUAGAGAUCUCUCCACAAGCCCAGAUGAUCCCAGGUCUUGUUGCCAUGUAGUCACAAUUGUGAGACCAGAUUUCAGCCUUAAGUGAAUUAGAUCAGAAGCCAUUUUAAAGCAAGACCAAGAGUACUGUGAUGAGGUAGCCUUUUUGAAUGCGUCCUUCCCUAAGCUUAGCUACGAUGAGGCUAAGAACGAUUUUUAACAUGGAUGAGCCAGAGGUGGAGUGAUCGUUACGUUGUGAGUGUGAGGCGGGAUGAUGGAGAAUGUUUUUCUCUCUGUCUCUUGCUUAGCGACUGAAAGGCCAUCUAUGUUCUGCUUAAUUAUUUCCAACAACUGCCAAAGGAAUCUUACUCUGUUGCUUUCAGUAGCGAGUGGAGCGCUUGUUGUUACACAGACGUGUGGAUCAGUUAUUCUUUAGACACAUCUUUGAUGCUAGCACUCUGAUCCUUGUGUUUCUCUAAUACCACUUGAAAGCAGAUUUUUUUUCUUGUAGUUUAGUAUGUUCAACAGCUUCAGAAAUAAUGUUAAAUUAUGCUCUAAAAAGACACGAUCAGCUGCUAAAUCAUAGUCAGUUCAGCACCGUAACACAGCCACAUUCACAAGUGCUGCAGGAAGAGUGGUGGAAACACUAUUUUAAACAUCCAGGUUUGUAUUACAAACCUUCCUCUGAUCUGAGCUUUUAGUUGACAUUUUCCCUUGAGUCAUGACUUAGAGUAUUAUCAGGAGUUCCCAUUUCAUCACAUAAAGGAUGCGGUUUUGUUUGCUCUUUGCUUGGUUGAGUAUCUUGUGCAGUAUGGAUUGGACCGGUACCCAUAAAUACAAGCUUAGCAAAAUGUUUCUUUAUACCUGGUUUCUUCUAGUUGCUUUCUGUUUAGCAUGAUGAGCUGGUUUUGCUGAAUAAUGCCUUAAUGACAGGGCUGAUGCAUUUUUAAUGCAUGUACUCUUUGUCAUUGUCAAAAUUAACAUUUUGAUGAUUGUAGAUUUCUUUUCUCGAAAAUCUUUUGGGAAUUGCUACGAUAUGUGGGUUAAAAGAGUGAAACUAUAAGGUCCGAUCGGAGAAAUACUGGGUAUGCUCACCAAAAUAAUUAUACAAUAUUGUGUAAAGGCUCAAUAGCGUAAGGGCUCUUAGAAUGAUGUUUCCCAAUAGCACAAUCUCAGAGUGGCUCUCCCCAUUCAUUAACAGUCCCUGGGAUCUGUCACGUAUGGAUGUUGAAGGACAGAAGCAGUCGUUUCUGAACAACAGAUCUCUAAGAGGAGACUAUAUAUACUGCGGGCCCGAUCCUGAGAAUGCAUGUAGCUUCCACGGGACUGCUCAGGGGAGCAAGGUUGCUCAUGUUAAAUCCAAAAUAUUUUGGGCCAAAUACUACCAUUUAAUGCAGUAGCAAAGCCCCAGCUGAUUUCACUGCGGGAAAGAUUAGAUCCCUAGUGAAAGGGAUUUUUGCAACACUACACUUCCUAUUUUUUUGCUCUAGAAAUUGCAAAUCCUGUGUGCUAAAAAAUGAGUCUAAAAACCCCCUGCCUCUAAUAGUCUAAUGAUAUUUUAUUAACAGCAAAGAUUAUACUAAAAGGCUAUAGUGCAACAUAAUAAGAAAUUACUUUAUAAAUAAGGGGGUUUAAUUGUACCAGUAUGAGUAUUUUCUAAGACAACACUUUAGAAUGAGGUUUGUGGCAGCACCAACCGUGUGUUAACAGCUAUUUUGGUGAGUGCAUAUUUAAUUAAUUUAAAUACUAAAUUUUUGUUUUAAAAUUGUUUUUGUAAUCUGCAUCCCAGUAGAAAAUUAAAUAAAGAAUUAGCCCAAAAAUAAUUACUUGAACUUAGCCUUUUUUUAAAGGCCAUAAUUCUAUGAAGAUUUAUAUCUCUGGGUAAUUUUAUCCACUGGAGUAGCCUCGAAGGCUGCUCCUGUAGGUAAGUCUUUGUCGCGCCAGGGCCCUGCGGCAGCGUAGCCGAUGGAUGGAGGAGAGGACACCGGGGUGGCAGCCGCCCUGACACAAAGCAGGGUCCUGCAGGGUCCCCCCUGUGCAGCCACGUCGUGAUGCUGGCUGCUCCCUGGGCUGCUCCCUGACCCGCUCCGCGCUGAGGAGACGGCAACUCCUCAGGCCUUCCCGGAGCGGGGGACUGCCGAAAAGGCUGUGCCCCCAAGCACCACGGGCACCUCGUGCCCCUCGGCGGGAGUGGGAGAAGGAAGAGUAGCUGUGGCCCCCAUUGCCCUGUGCAGGCAGGGGAAGAGCCCUGCCUGGGUCUGCCUGUAAUAGGAAGCAUCGCUUUCCUUAGGAAUACCCUAAAUUAAGUGAUGAGGACUGCCACUUGAUUUCAGGUGCUCUUUCCACAAAUAUUUAAGCCUAUAGCCCGCGUAUGUAUGUAUGUAUAUAUACACACACAUGCACAGAUGUCUGAAUGGAAUGAUUAUAUAUAUUUAUACGCGCACAUGUCUAUACACACAUCUCUCUGAAGGGAGGUUACGGCAUAAUACGAAAAGCCCCACUCUCCCAGACCCGGCAGAGGCACAACUCCCCCUCGCCUCAGCAGGGGCUGUGCCAUUGCAGUGCGUAUUUAUGACCGGUGGUGUGAUUUCUCUUGCUGCCUGCAAAUUUGCCCAAAAUAAAUGCACACGCUGUUACAUGUAGAUACGUACAGUUAUGCAGAUGCCUUUCCUUGGGGUGAGUUCUGCUUGCUUUCCGCUUUCAAGACAACAUCUGAUUUUGAGGGGAGUGUAAGCUUUCUUCCCAUAACAGGUUAUUGCCUUUUGUGUCAGUUUAGGUGGCUUCUAGUGUUCAUGGGUUUUUCUUAAGAAAACUGAAAACAAUAAUACCUGUACAUCCACACAGCUAUACACAUACUUUGCAGCUGUAAGAAUAAGCCUUUUGUAACUUGUAACCUUGUAACUAGCCUUUUUGUCGGGGUUUUUACAUCACACUAGAAGUAACGUAUACAACUGGAUUUUUAUGCCUUUUUUUUUUAAAUAAACAGUGUUUUUACAUACACAAAAGGCUUGUUCUUUCCUUCCUUUUAAAAGAUUACUAUUUUUCUGAAAAGCACUCCCCAUAGGUAUUACCCUUAGCUGUUAUGACACCUCACCAUUUAGUGUUGUGAAGGUAAAUCAUAAAACCCAUUAUUAAUAAUCAUAAUUUUUUACCAGAUUCAGCAGCUGCCUCCUGAAAGCUUUAAUGGUGGAAAUGUUUCCUGGGCUAUCGCCCAUGAUGCUUGCAUGCUUUUUAUUGCUAUCGUUAAGUAACCAAACUGCUCAAAAAUCAAAGGACUUGAUUAUCACAUACCUGCAAUGCAUAGAGCUAUUUAUAAAUGUUGGCUCGAUAAUAACAAUGACUCAAAAGAAAUUUAAAUAACAGGCCAAAAAUAAGAAGUCUAAAAGUGAAAACCCAAUCCAGAAUUCAUAGAGGUGAUGGGAAGAGUCUGACAUCGAAGGACAGACAGGACCCUAAGGAAGGUAAAGAGAAGAGGCCUGGAGGUGAUGGUAGAGGGUAGAUGUGCCAUGGCUUUGCGGGGCCGGUGGGCAGAUGAGAGGAGAGGCGCCAGGGACGGCAGGCCAGGAGGUGUCGCAGCCUGGCGCCAGGAGAAUGUGCCAGAAUUGUGGAAACUGGGGCUGGAACAUCACACACAUUUGGUAGUUUGCUUUCUGGAAAAAUGGUAUCUAGUUAAAAGCAGCCAACAGAAAAUUAGGUGAAACGUUCCAGAAACUAGAGGGGUUGAUUGAUGGGAAAAAUAAGAGCCCUGAAUAUAUAGCUGA